UCAGACAACAGAUACCAACUAAGCUUUAUUAAGACAGGUUACAGAAAAUAGACGACUAGAAAGACUAGAGAAAGUCGAGGUCCAAAUCGCUUGACGAGUGAUGUUAGAUUGCCUUUAUCUUUGGUUUUGCCUACAAUAGGACGCCGUCUCUUAUAUAUGAGAAGACAACAACAACGGCGACGCGCAGAUCGACAUUGCGGGCCGACGGCAUCCAUGCAAGUAAGUGAAGCGCGCGGGCACCGCGCGGGUGGUUGGGUUGGUUAGGCCUUGAGUAGAGGCACCUGAAUAGUGGGUUCUGUUGCUUGUCGGUGGGCGGGGUGAAUUCUAGUUGGGUUCGCGAGGUCCGUAGGUCAGUAGGAAAGGUGGUUUUAUCUCGGCCUCCCGCAGUUGGCGAGGCUUUAGCUGGGAUUCAGUUUUGCCGGGAGUAGCUCUUGGUUGGCAAGAUGUUGCGAGGGGCUUGAUCGGCGCCCUUUGUCUUGAGUUCGCCUGAUUUACUCUGGUAUCCUCGCGAGUCGCCAGAUAGCCCGGUGCAGGCUACUUACCAACCUAACAGCUACCCUACGUGCGAAGGCGUAAAGAAGAACGAGCAAAACAGGCAUACAGGAUGGCGUCAAGAAUUCUGCAAGCAAACGAAAGUUGAAGCCAAGAUGCGUGGACGGACCCGGAGUCUUCGGACGUGUGGACGGGCUACAGCUACAUCAUAAAGCCGCCGUGGCGGUCCACUAAGUGCGGCACAGAAUGCAUGACAAGCGGCUGCGGAAGGCAGUGCGCUUAGGAAGCCCGCCGCGGCGGCACGCCGAACUGAAGGGCUGGAUGUAGGAGCAUGUAGACAGUGGCCACGGAAGGCGGUGCACUUCUAGAAAAGCCGCUGUGGCGGUCCGCUAAGUGCGGCACAAAUGCAGGACAAGCGGCUGCGGAAGGCAGUGCGCUUAGGAAGCCCGCCGCGGCGGCACACCGAAUCGAAGGUGUUGAUUUAGGAGCAUAUAGACAGCAGCCACGGAAGGCGGUGCGCUCAUAGAAAAGCCGCUGCGGUGGUCCGCUAAGUGCAGCACAAAUGCAUGACAAGUGGCUGCGGAAGGCAGUGCGCUUAGGAAGCCCGCCGCGGCGGCACACCAAAUUGAAGGCAUUGAUUUAGGAGCAUAUAGACAGUGGCUGCAGAAGGCGGUGUGCUGGUAGAAAAGCCGCUGCGGCCGUCCACUAAGUGCGGCACAAAAUGCAUGACAAGCGGCUGCGGAAGGCAGUGCGCUUAGGGAGCCCACCGUGGCGGCAAGCCGAACUGAAGGUGUUGAUUUAGGAGCAUAUAGAAGGUGACAGCGGAGGGCGAUACACUUGUAGAAACGCUGCUGCAGUGGUCCGAUAGUGCGGCACCAAUUGCAUGAUAAGAGGCUGCAGAAGGCAGCGCACUUAGGAAGCCCGCCGAGGCGGCACACCGAACUGACGGCUUUGUGAUUUAAGAGUGUGUAGACGGCGACCACGGAAGGCGGCCCGCUUGUCGAAAAGCUGCUGCGGCAGUCCUCGGAGUGCGGCACAAAAUGCAUGACAAGCGACUGCGGAAAGCAGCACGAUUAAGAAGCCCGCCGCGGCGGCACGCUGAACUGAAGGCGUUGUGACCUAGGAGGAUAUAGAUAGCGACCGUGGAAGGCGGUGCGCUUGUAGGAAACUGCUGUGGUGAUCCGCAAAGCGUGGCACAAAAUGCAUGAUGAGCGGCAGUGAAAGGCAACGUGAUUAGGAAGCCUGCCAUGGCGGCACGCCAAACCGAAGGUGUUUGGUAUGGG
rnacentral:lncRNA from 1 species